CUCCCCGGGAUCCGGGGAGGGGGGGGUGGCCUGAAGCUCCGCACUGCGCCGGCCGGCGGGGGCCAGAGGGCUCCGCAGGCAGGGCUGGCCCGCCCACGCCCACCCCGCCACCCGCGCCCCACGCGCAGCCGCUCACACCAGCAACUGCGCCCCGACACACAAUUCCACAAACGCAGCCCAAAAUGUGCACACCCACUGUACACACGGAUCCCCACUAGGACACGCCAUUCCGGGGACACAGCACCGUCCGCGGUCAUCCACAACUCCACGACGCAGACAGAGGCACCCCAACACACGCGCGCGCGCGCACACGCAGAGAGCCGGGUCGCAGCUCACGCCGGUGCACACGCCCGCACUCCCCGCAGCCCUACCUGCUCCGGCGCAGGACGCGGUCCGCCGGCUUCCCGAGCCCAAGUUCGGCGCGGCUGGCGCUGGGGCGGGCGCGGGCCGCUGCCCGGGACGAGCGCGCCGAGGCCGGGAGGGGUGGCUAGGAGCGCGGGCCUCCGAGCGCCCGCAGCCUCCGCGCCGGCCCUGCGCUCAUCGCCUCCCAGAAAGACAAAAGGAAGCCGGCGGCGAGGGAGCGAGCGAGGUGGAGGCGCCCGCCCGUCCGCCGGCCCGCCCGUCCGCCGCCUGCAGCCGCCGCGGCCCGCCUGCCAGCGCCGGGAAGGAAGGGACUCGAAGGCGGGACCCGGAGGCGGGGGCCGGGGGCGGGGCGUGCGGCGGGGCCGGCGCUCGAGUUCCCUGCGGCCCCGCCCCCGCCAGGCCCCGCCCCGCCAGGCCCCGCCCCCGGGCUCGGCCCCGCCCCCGGGCUCGGCCCCGCCCACCUGCCUGCGUGGGUCGCGCCCCCGGCCCUGGCCACGCCCCUCCCGACCCCGGGGUGCGGGCUUCCGAGCCUGCUCCCCGCUGCACCCUCCGCCCCGCCCGGGCCCCAGCCCGGUCCCGGUCCCGGGCGGAUCUCGGGGCCGGAGCGGAGCCGAGCACCGGUGCCGCCUCCCUAACCCUUGGCCUCUGGCCUGCGGGCGUGGGAGAGGCGGGGAGGCGGCACCGGGAGGGGCCAGCUCCGCGCCCCCCCUCCCCGGCCUCUGCAGGAAGUGCGGCCCGGGUGGCCCAGAAAGGGAAGAGGCCGGAGUCGCCCCAGGCUGUCUCCCAGCGCCCUCUGGCACCCUCACCGCCAGUCCCCUGCGCAGACACGCCCUACCAACCGCGCCUGCCUCUUUCGGGGAAGGAGCGGAGGACCGGGAGGAGGGACGCCUGAGUUCCAGUUCUGCUUGCCUUUGCCAAUUCUGGGCGAUUUCAGCAAGUCCCUGA
rnacentral:lncRNA from 1 species